GGUUCCAUAGCGUAGUGCGUCCGCUUUACACGCAGAAGGUCCUGGGUUCGUGCUCCAGUGGAGCCA
rnacentral:tRNA from 1 species